rnacentral:rRNA from 1 species
AUUGAACGCUGGCGGCAGGCCUAACACAUGCAAGUCGAGCGGAUGAAGGGAGCUUGCUCCUGGAUUCAGCGGCGGACGGGCGAGUAAUGCCUAGGAAUCUGCCUGGUAGUGGGGGAUAACGUCCGGAAACGGGCGCUAAUACCGCAUACGUCCUGAGGGAGAACGUGGGGGAUCUUCGGACCUCACGCUAUCAGAUGAGCCUAGGUCGGAUUAGCUAGUUGGUGGGGUAAAGGCCUACCAAGGCGACGAUCCGUAACUGGUCUGAGAGGAUGAUCAGACACACUGGAACUGAGACACGGUCCAGACUCCUACGGGAGGCAGCAGUGGGGAAUAUUGGACAAUGGGCGAAAGCCUGACCCAGCCAUGCCGCGUGUGUGAAGAAGGUCUUCGGAUUGUAAAGCACUUUAAGUUGGGAGGAAGGGCAGUAAGUUAAUACAUUGCUGUUUUGACGGUACCAACAGAAUAAGCACCGGCUAACUUCGUG